rnacentral:rRNA from 1 species
CCUGAUGCAGCAACGCCGCGUGAGGGAUGACGGCCUUCGGGUUGUAAACCUCUUUUAGUAGGGAAGAAGCGAAAGUGACGGUACCUGCAGAAAAAGCACCGGCUAACUACGUGCCAGCAGCCGCGGUAAUACGUAGGGUGCAAGCGUUGUCCGGAAUUAUUGGGCGUAAAGAGCUCGUAGGCGGUUUGUCGCGUCUGCUGUGAAAUCCCGAGGCUCAACCUCGGGCUUGCAGUGGGUACGGGCAGACUAGAGUGCGGUAGGGGAGAUUGGAAUUCCUGGUGUAGCGGUGGAAUGCGCAGAUAUCAGGAGGAACACCGAUGGCGAAGGCAGAUCUCUGGGCCGUAACUGACGCUGAGGAGCGAAAGCGUGGGGAGCGAACAGGAUUAGAUACCCUGGUAGUCCACGCCGUAAACGUUGGGCGCUAGAUGUAGGGACCUUUCCACGGUUUCUGUGUCGUAGCUAACGCAUUAAGCGCCCCGCCUGGGGAGUACGGCCGCAAGGCUAAAACUCAAAGGAAUUGACGGGGGCCCGCACAAGCGGCGGAGCAUGCGGAUUAAUUCGAUGCAACGCGAAGAACCUUACCAAGGCUUGACAUACACCGGAAACGGCCAGAGAUGGUCGCCCCCUUGUGGUC